AGUCAAAUCUAUACCGCCCCAAACACACCAAUAUCACCUGAUUUUGGAAGCUAAGCAGGGACAGGUCUGGUUAUUACUUGGAUGGGGGACCACCAGGGAAGACCACAGAUCUC
rnacentral:rRNA from 1 species